GGACAGAAGAGCCUGGUGGGCUAUAGUUCAUGUGGUCUCAAAGAGUCAAACACAGGUGAGUGGCUGAGCAUUCAUGCUGAGUCCCUGGGAUCCAGAGGAAUACAUUUUACAGGUGACUUUUCAAUGUCUCCCACCUUUAAACCAAUGUUUAUCUUAGCAUAUUUAAUUUAUAUCCUUCCUGUACUAUUUUAAUCUGUACUUUUGCUUCUUCAUAGUGUCUCUCAUUCAAAAUACUCUAGAAAUGCAAAUCUAUAACUAACUCUUCCAAAGACUUCUUCCUUUAUACUCUAAUAUUCCAAAAGUGAAUUAUUUAAAUCUUUUGGAGGGAGCCAAUUUGACACAAUUUUAGCUAUUUCUUCCCAAGAUACCACUCUGAACCAUCUUACAAUUAUUUCUAACAGUUAGGGGAUGAAAACAUGGACACCGAACUCAGUUAGAGUCCCACUAAUGAUUAAGAGUUUAACUCCUAAUCUUAGCAUGCAAACUCCAAUAUAAUCCUUAAAAACUGUAACAAGAGCUCUGCUAUUGUCAUGUAGAAACAAACCCAAAAUACAGACAAUGGCUAAUAAUAUUUGCCUAGGAAUUUCUCUGUAUUUUAUAAGUAACAAAUAUUUGUCAAAGUUAUCACACCCUGAAAGAGUUUAUUUUCUAUUAUUUGUGCAUCAGUUUUGUUUCUUGUAUCUCUUUUACUUCUGUUAGCCAUGGAAUUACAUGCCUACUGAUGCAAGGAAACAGAACAAAGAGUCAGUUUUUUUAUUUCAGGUGAGAAUCGGCCUUCUUACUCUCAGUCAUUAGUCUUCCCAACCCAGUGGUCAGCAUUUUCAGUUAGGUAAUUCUUCAUGCUAUAAGUGGAGCUAUUUAUCGAAACUUAGCAAAUUUCUUCCUCAUGUACAAGAAAAAGUCGUCCUGGAAUAUUCUCUGCCCAUUGAAAUGUGCACUCAGGCGGUGACACGGAAAUCAGUACAGUGGAGCUAAUGAUCUGGUUCCGUUAACAAUUGCUCAUUUGGGUGGUAACAGCACAUCAUAAUGGUUGUGCAUGCAAUAUGUGAAUGAGAAUGUUCAGAUUCAAAAUCCUCCACUUUCUAUGUGACCUUGGAUGAGUCUCUCAGCAUAUAGUGAAUCAGCUUCCUCAACCAGGAAAAGUGAAGUUAAUGGGGAUAAUUUUCAAGAACCAUGAAGAGCCUGAGGUUUUACUCUACUCGCAAGAUAAAAGUUGAAGUGCUGCAUUUUCAUAGGUACUGGCAGAAGACAUGAAACUCUUAAAUCAGAGACAAAGGAUUCCAUUACUCAUAGCACAGAAGACAGUAUGAACUUCAAGUUCCCAUAGGUUUUCCUUGGGCCUUGAAUACCUUAGGGGCAGUGUGAAAAUGGGUCCAGAUAAAGUCUAUGUACACAGAAGUUUAAGUCAUAACCGAUGAAAUCUAAGCUUAGGAACCCUCUCAGUUUUCAAAGGAUUUUCUAGGAAAACUGAGCAAGCAUUGCUUAUGUGUAGACACUAUAUUAUUCUGGACAGCAAACAAAUCUACCCUCUGCCCGUGAAGGAGAUAUUAUCUCUAUCUUCAAAGGUUACUUUCUGUACUAACAUGCACUGGGAGU